rnacentral:rRNA from 1 species
GAUGAAUGCUGGCGGCGUGCUUAACACAUGCAAGUCGAGCGGCAGCGCGAGUAGUUUACUACUUGGCGGCGAGCGGCGGACGGCUGAGUAACGCGUAGGAACGUGCCCCAAAGUGAGGAAUAACCGCCCGAAAGGGUGGCUAAUGCCGCAUAUGAUCUUCGGAUUAAAGGAUUUAUCCGCUUUGGGAGCGGCCUGCGUAUGAUUAGGUAGUUGGUGAGGUAAUGGCUCACCAAGCCGACGAUCAUUAGCUGGUCUGCGAGGAUGACCAGCCAGACUGGAACUGAGACACGGUCCAGACUCCUACGGGAGGCAGCAGUGAGGAAUCUUCCACAAUGGGCGAAAGCCUGAUGGAGCAACGCCGCGUGAAGGAUGAAGGCCCUCGGGUCGUAAACUUCUUUUAUAAGUGAAGAAUAUGACGGUAACUUAUGAAUAAGCACCGGCUAACUACGUGCCAGCAGCCGCGGUAA